rnacentral:rRNA from 1 species
GUGAGGAAUAUUGGUCAAUGGGCGAGAGCCUGAACCAGCCAAGUCGCGUGAAGGAAGAAGGAUCUAUGGUUCGUAAACUUCUUUUGUGCAGGAAUAAAGUGGGUUACGUGUAACCUUUUGUAUGUACUGUACGAAUAAGGAUCGGCUAACUCCGUGCCAGCAGCCGCGGUAAUACGGAGGAUCCGAGCGUUAUCCGGAUUUAUUGGGUUUAAAGGGUGCGUAGGUGGAUUGAUAAGUCAGCGGUGAAAGUUUGCAGCUUAACUGUAAAAUUGCCGUUGAAACUGUCGGUCUUGAGUGCAAAUGAGGUAGGCGGAAUGUGUUGUGUAGCGGUGAAAUGCUUAGAUAUAACACAGAACUCCGAUUGCGAAGGCAGCUUACUGGGAUGCAACUGACACUGAUGCACGAAAGCGUGGAUAUCAAACAGGAUUAGAAACCCGGGUAGUCC